UACGUAGGGUGCAAGCGUUAUCCGGAUUUACUGGGCGUAAAGGGCGCGUAGGCGGUCAGCACAAGUCAGUUGUGAAAUCUCCGGGCUUAACUCGGAAAGGUCAACUGAUACUGUGCGACUAGAGUGCGGAAGGGGCAACUGGAAUUCUCGGUGUAGCGGUGAAAUGCGUAGAUAUCGAGAGGAACACCUGCGGCGAAGGCGGGUUGCUGGGCCGACACUGACGCUGAUGCGCGAAAGCCAGGGGAGCGAACGGG
rnacentral:rRNA from 1 species